rnacentral:rRNA from 1 species
UACGAAGGGGGCUAGCGUUGUUCGGAAUUAUUGGGCGUAAAGGGCGCGUAGGCGGCUAGAUGUGUCAAAGGUGAAAUCCCUCGGCUCAACUGAGGAACUGCCUUUGAAACUGUCUGGCUUGAGGCCGGGAGAGGGUAGCGGAAUUCCCAGUGUAGCGGUGAAAUGCGUAGAUAUUGGGAGGAACACCAGUGGCGAAGGCGGUUCUCUGGGCAUUACCUGACGCUGAGGAGCGAAAGUGUGGGGAGCGAACAGG